GCUCUAGAGAUUUCUCUUAAUUUCUCUGACCUCAUUUCAACAUAGGAAGUCAAGCUGACGCCUAAUUUAGUGCAUUAGCCAUUUCACUGAAGUCAACGGGGUUGAUUGCAAACUCUCAUGAGUAUGUCCCUAUGCAUCCCUGCCAGGCAAAAAUGCAAUGUCUCUGCACUUCACAAAUCCCGAAUGCUUAGGGCACUUAAACAGGUAUUUUAUAUCUCUCAGUAGUUCCUUUAGUUUCAGGGAAUGUCUUGGGCUUAAAAUUAAGCACAUGCUUAAAUGAUUUGCAAUCUAUUCUAAAUUACAUAAGAGUAGUAAUUUGCAAUUAUUCAGAACAAAAUCAAAGAACUUGUGAAGUGCAUUGAAUUCCUUAAUAAUUUGUGAAAGUUAGUGCAAGAGCAAACAACAUGGUAGAUAGGAGAAAAGUCUGUUCUCAGGAAGGUGAUCUGAGCAAAGGCUUGGAAAUCAUUGCUUCAGCUGGCUGCAUGGAUCAGCCUCCUUGGUAAGGCACAGGAUAUAAGUUGUUGCAACAGUGACAGGAAUUUUCCUGGCUUCAAUGCAUUGGAAAUUUCCCAUUAGAUGUUUAUCCAGAUUUAACUCAAGGUCUGCACAUGAAUUAUUCAGGCCGUGCCUGGGGCUGUCAUUCACCUUCCCUACAAGCAGCCAGAGGCAAAUGAAGCAUGACUUACUGCCAGAAAGCAAGCAGUUUGAUCUCUGGAAUUGUGAUCUGAAGAUGUUUGAUCAAAGUGGAAAGACAAUUGGGUGGGUGCAAAUAAGAAACACCAAAGGAAAGUGGAACAAAACACUGCUUUCAUUUCAAAGGACUCUUUGAGAAUGUUUCACUGUCUCUAGAGCUGGAGGACUAAGAAUGAAAAAAAUACAUCUGGAUUGAUGGAUGCAUUAUUGGAUUGUGCUUUAGGAUAAGAAAUGGAAGAUGGCCUGCUUUUGAUGAACCUAAGAAUACAAAAAUGUCAACUGGAAUACCAAUGCAGAAAAAUGUGAGCUGUUAAGGAAAAACAAAUGAUCCAAAUGUGUUCAUUUAUCUUUAGCUAUUUUAUUAUUAUUUUAAAUGUCUAAACCAAUAUAAUAAGUAGGUUUGUGUUCUUUUCUAAAUUUAUUCCUACACUCUUCUCUAACACUCAUGACCCAAGAUCUAAAAAAGAAAAGUUACUCAUAUUUCUUAAACUUUUUUCCACAUCUGAGUUAGACUUAGAUGUGUUUAAAGUAGAAAAUAAAUAAUUUUUCAGUGUCUUGUGACUAAAAUAU
rnacentral:lncRNA from 1 species